rnacentral:lncRNA from 1 species
GCCGAGGUCGUGACGGGCAUGACCGUCUCUCUGCUUGGUUAGGACAUGGUCUGACUGUCACCCAGGCUGGCGCGAUCUCAGGCUCAAGUGGUCCUCCCACCUCAGUCUCCUGGAAAGCUAAGACUACAGGCACGCACCACCACGUCCAGUUAGCGUGUAUGUAUGUAUGUACGUACGUGUGUGUGUGUGUGUAUGUGUAUAUAUGUAACUCCUCCUCCCCUCCCCCCUCCCCUUCUCUUCUUUUCUUUCUAGAUGGGGUUUC